rnacentral:lncRNA from 1 species
GCCUGUUCCUUCUGCUGUCUCUGGUAGCAAGAUUGAAGGACAAGCCAGUGCCUCUCGGGAUGCCAUUUGUGAUAGUUUUGGCAAGGUGCAGCAUGUGGCUAGCAGGCAGAAUAAACACUGCUUGUUAGUUGCUAUGGCUGAGUGCAGACCUGUCAUAAAUGGUGUUCCAAAUGAGGUCACUGUCUGCAAAUGCUGUAGGCCAGGAACAAUGCAAGAUGGAGGGCAGAUCAUGAGUAAUCCUGGCACAGAGGCUGGUGACCUUAACAAAGCUGGGUGCAUU